CCUGAGAAACCCAGAAGAUCGAAUGGGGAGAUUCAUCGUUAACACGUUUGGUAUAUGUGCGAGUUACGAUACGAGUUAUCCUUGUGAUAAUGCUUGUACGUGCCCGUUCAUUUUAUUGCUGAAUGUUGUCGGCGUGCACUUCUCCCCUAGUAGGACGUCGCGACCCGUUGGGUGUCGAUCUAUGGCCCGGAUGGUAGUCUUUAAUUUUUAUAAUUGAAGACCACCGGUGACCUGAUCGGCUGCCCGGCGGUAUUCGCACGGUAAUGAGUCGCAUAUUUUAYAUGCGUCAGGCCCGUCGCAAGCGCGGUUAGUAUUCUGGUAGUGCGGACUCAAUGCCGUCGCUGGAGCUAACCAGCUGUUGGCCGUACGGUGUUCUUUGACUGGCUCAAAUAUUAUUUACCGGUCGGCGACGCUACUGCUUUGGGUACUUUCAGGACCCGUCUUGAAACACGGACCAAGGAGUCUAACAUGUGCGCAAGUCAUUGGGAUUUAUUUUUUAAAUUAAACCUAAAGGCGCAAUGAAAGUAAAGGUCGUCCUUGUGAUGACUAAGGGAGGAUGAGUUGCGUUACGAUGCAGCUCCGCACUCCCGGGGCGUCUCAUUCUCAUUACGAGAAGAGGCGCACCUAG
rnacentral:rRNA from 1 species